UCCAAACCGGUGCGAAAUAGUGUUUUAGCACCGGUUCAAACCGGUGCGAAAUUAAAAAAAAAAAUCGGGCUGCUAUAUCUCUUUAAUCCGCCUUUUUAUUUCACUCUCCCUGGUUCUGCUCUCCUUCUCUCUCAUCUCUGGUUCUGCCCUGCUCUCGUUCUCUCUCAUCCCUCAUUCUCUCUCAUCUUUCGUUCUGCUCUCAUCUCUCCUUCCUCUUUCGUUCCCAUCUCGUUCUGCUUUCAUCUCUCGUGUACUGUGAGGUCUUUAAUUUUCGUUCGAAUCUUGUUCGAGUUAAAGCAAGUGGUGAACGAUUGAAGUGCGAUCUGAAUCCUCCAUUGAAGUGACUUCUUAGCUCUCUCUCCUCCUCCAUGAAGCAGCUUUUGAGUUUCAGAAUUUGGAUUCUUCAGAACCAUCAUCGCAUAGACAACGGGCCGGAGGAGGAGGGAUUUGUUUUUGAGGUACUCUGAAAAGCACGUUAAUGGUGCUUAUGAAUUCAGGAUGCAAGGGAGGUCUCAGCCCCGAUUCCAGAAGGACACGAUGGCCGAGGUUGCACAGCCUCUUGCUGAUGGUAUAGAUGUAGGUGUAAAAUUUAAACCUGUUGAACAUCCAGUUGAGCCUCUUGACAAUGAUAAACCCAUCUAGUGCCCAUUGCCAGAACCUUUUAUUCUAAAUGUAGGUUAUGUCAUUGUAGGGAUAGGAGCACCAUGGAUAAUUAGUGGAAGAGGGAUCAUUGCAAAUGGUUGUAUCAGCUGAAGAUCAAUGCUCCUGUGUAGUUGUUUUUAUUCUGUUGAUGUUAGCUGUCAGGCUGUGUCUGCUCAGCUGCUGUUGCUGUGAGCUGUUGUUUCUGCUACACUGAUGUGUCUGCUGUGAGGUCGAGUUUUCCUGUGUUGAUGUGAUGCGCUACUGUGUUGGUGUUGAUGUGCUGCUGUCUGCUUCCUUUUGCAGUGUUGUGGUGCUGUGAUGCUGAGUUGAUGUGCUUGCUCUGCUGCUUUAGUGUUGCGCUGUGUUUUGUUAUUUUUGUAGCCUGUUGAGCUGCUUAGUUUGGGCUGUUUAAUUUAGUUAGAUGUUUGCUGUUUAUAUGCUUCAUUAGAACAGGUUUUUGGAGUAUUAGAAGUAAAUUUCUGUAACUUUGUAUAUAUGUUAGUGUUUAUAUAUCAAUUUAAGUGAAAAAAAUGCAAAAAAAAAAAAAAAAAAA